GUUAUAGUUGUAAUAUUAAACUUUAAUGAACUUGUAUGUCUCUGUGAAUUGCUACUAACGUUUUGUUUGGCUAGUGCAUAGAGAUGUCAUCGUAUGUCGUGUACAAGGGUAAGGUUCCCGGAGUCUACGACGACAGGGAGGAGUGUCGGAGACAGGUUCACCGAUUCAGCAGUAAUAGUUACAAAGGGUACACCACAAGGGCGGAGGCGGAAGUUAGAUACGCGCGCUAUCUAGCGGGAGAAAGGAGGGAGCGUUGGAGGAACCGGAUGAAGAC
rnacentral:lncRNA from 1 species